GCGAAUGGAUGCGACAUGUACACGUAUAAGCGUCAACCGUCCUCGAUCCAUACCUAAGCGAGCCGUGGUAGUAGCAGUUUCGACCGAGGAACAGGGAAAGUAAGAUGGCUCCUCAUCGAGUGUGUACGAAGGCUUAGAAAGGAGUUAAGAAAAUCUUCUGGGAAAGGGGAGGGGAGGAGAUGGGAUGGGAGAGCGAUAUCGAGUCUAUCCGCUCGAGGAAAGUUUGCGAUUCAUACAGUUCAUGCGGAAAUUCAUUGUAUCCGAUUAAUCCCCUCUCCUCGUUUAUUUUCCACCAAAGUUAUCUUUAAAUUUAGAUCGGAGGAUAAAUUUUGUUUCGAGCAUUUCCCCGUAAAAUUUUUCGCUCGACUCGAUUGGCCGUGUAAUUUUAUUUCUCGGGGAAACGAUGAAAUCGUUAUGAUUUGUGAGCAAUUUGAAAGCACGUGGCCACGAUCACCGGAAACCAAUUCCUGAAAGAAAUUUUCAGAUAAUACAAUUUAUCCAGCAGCACACGUGCAACGUGUCAAACAAGAGAUUACGGCACGUGCUCGACAUUAUCAUCGUACAAAAGAUUACGUAAACUUGGAAACGAUUCUAUUCACGCGAUAUAUCGUUGUUGUGCGUCCUCUUUAUAUCUUUAUUCUCCAUCGUGAAUCACUUUCUCGAUUCUCAUCGUUGUAAUUCGAAUGUAAGCGAAUAUAAUAGAGAACACGAAAAUCAAUUACGAAAGAGAGACUUCAACGUUUCUUUUUUUUUUUUUUUUGCAGAAGUUUCAAAAGUUUCAAAAGUUUCGAAAAUAUUUUUGAAAGAUAAAAUUAUUAGAACACGAGAGCAGUGUUAAUAAAUUCGAUGGUCGAUGUAAAGUCAAACAGUCGAAUGCAAAGAAAUUUUAUUGGCUUCGACGUUAAUGGCGGCGGCCUGCCAGGAGGAGAGAAAAGAAUGAUGAAAAAAUUUAAUUAACAGCCGGCGCAAAGGGGAAGGUAAUUUUGUCGCACUUCCAAGGAAUCGCAAAGGGAGUCUGCGAGGGGUGGUGAGACAUUGGACAUUUUCCCAAGCAUACAAGAUCUAAGAAAUGAAUGGCAGGGUCUGCUCCCCCUUAAAAUCUACGGUUAAAACAGUAGCACCGGUAGCAUGGACGGAUAUGGCAUUAAUAGAUUGAGUUUUCUAAUUUGCAAAAGUACUUUCUAUUAAUAAAUUAUGAAACUGAUGACUCCUAACGUGCGAGGACUAAUUUCCAAUAGAGCGAUAAGUCUAAUUGAUGUAUGAUAUCAGGCAAUUUUAUUUCCUGAGAAAUGUAUCUCGAGCUGUAUUAAUGUAGAUUUUCAUGAAUAUUAAAUAGAAUUAUUAUUGCGUUUAAUAAAAAAAA